rnacentral:rRNA from 1 species
UACGUAGGGUGCAGGCGUUAAUCGGAAUUACUGGGCGUAAAGCGUGCGCAGGCGGUCUAUUAAGACAGGUGUGAAAUCCCCGGGCUUAACCUGGGAACUGCAUUCGAGACUGUCUAGCUAGAGUAUGGGAGAGGGAAGUGGAAUUUCAGGUGUAGCGGUGAAAUGCGUAGAUAUCUGAAGGAACAUCAGUGGCGAAAGCGACUUCCUGGACCAAUACUGACGCUCAUGUGCGAAAGCGUGGGGAGCAAACAGG